CGAUGCUCAAGUCAGUACUCUGCUUCAACAGAAAUGGAGUGCUCGAGCAAAAAUUUUGGCAGAGUUUUGAGAUAGAGUUACCAGCUUAGAGAAGAACGUGUCUGGGGGUUUUUUAUUUAUUGACGGAGGGGGUAACUAACUGACAGCGACGUCUGUAACCGUCUGGUAGUGGACCGCUCAGAGCCGCAUGGAGUUUGUUACGGAGAAUAGUGACGUCAGGGGUC
rnacentral:lncRNA from 1 species